ACGUAUGGAGCAAGCGUUAUCCGGAUUUACUGGGUGUAAAGGGAGUGUAGGUGGCCAUACAAGUCAGAAGUGAAAAUCCGGGGCUCAACCCCGGAACUGCUUUUGAAACUGUAAGGCUGGAGUGCAGGAGGGGUGAGUGGAAUUCCUAGUGUAGCGGUGAAAUGCGUAGAUAUUAGGAGGAACACCAGUGGCGAAGGCGGCUCACUGGACUGUAACUGACACUGAGGCUCGAAAGCGUGGGGAGCAAACAG
rnacentral:rRNA from 1 species